GGAGAAAGGGGAAAAUGGGUGAUGGGCAUUGAGGAGGGCACUUGUUGGGAUGAACACUGGGUAUUGUACAUAAAGCAAUGAAUCAUGGGAACCUACUCUGGAAACCAAGAGCAUGCUAUACACACUGUAUGUUAGCCAACUUGACAAUAAAUUAUAUGAAAGAAGGAAGGAAGAGAGAGAGAGAGAAGGAAGGAAGGAAGGAAGGAAGGAAGGAAGGAAGGAAGGAAGGAAGGAAGGAAGGAAGGAAGAAAAAAAAAAACAACUCACUGUUCAGCUGCAGGGGUACAGGGAGCCAAGAGCGUCCAGCUGUUAGCACCUCAGGGACUGUUAGCACCUCAGGCCAAAGACGGGAGCACAGGGCCUGGCCACGGGGGGUCUCUGCUUGCCUCCUCCCUUUCCUCCCUCCUCUUUGUUAACCACCCCACCCCCAAACCUCUUGCAUUCCUAACUAUGUCUUAAGGUCUGUAUCUACUGUUCCUUGAGCCUGUACUAAGAACUAACUCCAAUGUGUUUUGUGGGUUCUGCAUAAAAGCAAAUGCCCAAUCAAGGGGGCGCUCUCAGGCCCCCAUUCUGAUCACCUGGUGGCACCUGGAUCCGUCCACAGGUCUCAGGCCGGACCAGCCAACCAGCCAAUCAGUGAGACUGUCGUAUUGCUUCCCUCCAAGGUGAGGGACGUGGGCCCAGGGCACAGGUUCGAAAUCGAGACUCAGCGAGGCUUGGAAACAGGGUUCUGACCCAGCACUCUCCCUGAGGUCUUACUGAUGCCCUGGAUUCUGUAGGUCAGAAUUCAAACUCGCCAUCUGACCCCAACACCUGCUCCUUCUGGGCCCUCCUCUGUGGCUUUUCCACUUCUGCAUAAGCCAGAAGCUGAGGAGCCGUGAGGCUCUCAACAGGAGGGGACCCUGAGCUCUGGCAGAUGAGACAGAUUCUCCAGGGCUUGGAGGCAGAUGCACAGCCUGGGCAGAGGUGGGAGAUAGCUGGGCUCACUGAGAGACAAGCAAACAGUUCUGAGAUGCUGAAGGGAGGGGCAUACAGGGGACAAGCCCCCCCCCCCCCACCACAGAUCAGCCAAGGAGCCUGACUCUGGGGGCAAUGCCCCUGAGAUGUCCCUGUUCCAAUCCCUAAAACCUGUGACUGUCACCUGACUUGGCAGAGGGGGACUUGGCAGAUGUGAUCAAGUUAAGGAUCUCAAGACAGAGAGUAUUCUGAAUGAUCCAGGUGACCCAAUGGAAUCACGAGGUUCUAAAGAGGAAGGCUGGAGGGUCAGAGUCAGAGAAGGGGAGGUAAGGACAGAGAGACACAUUUUGAGCUGGAGGAAGGGGCUACAAGACAAGAAAUGGGGUGAAAACGGAGAAGAGGAGAAAACACAGGGAUUAGGCCACAAGAAGACGGAGGCAGACGCUGGAGGGACACGGCCAUGAGCCAAGAUACGUGUGGAGCCACUAGGAGCUGGAAGACACAGGUAGAAGCCUCCCCCGGAGCCCUGGUUGUGAACACAGCACUGUGACAGCUUGAUUUUGGACUUCCAGGCCCCUGAACUCUGAGAACUUCUUUUGUCUUACGCCCCCCAGUUUGCGGCCAUCUGUUGCAUGUGUCCCAGGACGCUAACGCGGGCUCUUCUUUGCCCACCAUUCCCAAUAAAACAGUCCCAUUUCCUUUUCUUGCA